GACGAACGCUGGCGGCGUGCCUAAUACAUGCAAGUUGAGCGCUGAAGGUUGGUACUUGUACCAACUGGAUGAGCAGCGAACGGGUGAGUAACGCGUGGGGAAUCUGCCUUUGAGCGGGGGACAACAUUUGGAAACGAAUGCUAAUACCGCAUAAAAACUUUAAACACAAGUUUUAAGUUUGAAAGAUGCAAUUGCAUCACUCAAAGAUGAUCCCGCGUUGUAUUAGCUAGUUGGUGAGGUAAAGGCUCACCAAGGCGAUGAUACAUAGCCGACCUGAGAGGGUGAUCGGCCACAUUGGGACUGAGACACGGCCCAAACUCCUACGGGAGGCAGCAGUGGGGAAUCUUCGGCAAUGGACGAAAGUCUGACCGAGCAACGCCGCGUGAGUGAAGAAGGUUUUCGGAUCGUAAAACUCUGUUGGUAGAGAAGAACGUUGGUGAGAGUGGAAAGCUCAUCAAGUGACGGUAACUACCCAGAAAGGGACGGCUAACUACGCG
rnacentral:rRNA from 1 species